rnacentral:rRNA from 1 species
AUUGAACGCUGGCGGCAGGCCUAACACAUGCAAGUCGAGCGGAGCGGCGGACGGGUGAGUAAUGCCUAGGAAUCUGCCUGGUAGUGGGGGAUAACGUCAGGAAACGGGCGCUAAUACCGCAUACUCUCAGAUGAGCAUAGGCCGGAUUAGCUAGGUGGUGGGGUAGAGGCCUACCAAGGCGACGAGCCGUAACUGGUCUGAGAGGAUGAUCAGUCACACUGGAACGGAGACACGGUCCAGACUCCUCCGGGAGGCAGCAGUGGGGAAUAUUGGACAAUGGGCGAAAGCCUGAUCCAGCCAUGCCGCGUGUGUGAAGAAGGUCUUCGGAUUGUAAAGCACUUUAAGUUGGGAGGCGUUACCAACAGAAUAAGCACCGGCUAACUCCGUGCCAGCCGCCGCGGUAAUUC